rnacentral:misc_RNA from 1 species
AAGUCGUAACAAGGUUUCCGUAGGUGAACCUGCGGAAGGAUCAUUAGAAUGCUACAAGUCGCACAGGUCGAAAGACCGGGCUGCGGUCGUGGCUCUCCCGUUCGCGGGAGGGCCCUUUCUAAACCAUGUGAAAACACCCGUUGCUUCGGCGGCCGCCAGGUGGCCUUAUCGGCUCUCCCUGACGUCAGCCCGCCGGCAGCUCUGAACAAAACCAUUUCUGUAAACUUUUGUCAGAAUACGAAAUCUAAAUCGUUAAAA